UACGGAGGGUGCAAGCGUUAUCCGGAUUCACUGGGUUUAAAGGGUGCGUAGGCGGGCAGAUAAGUCAGUGGUGAAAUCUCCGAGCUUAACUCGGAAACUGCCGUUGAUACUAUUUGUCUUGAAUACUGUGGAGGUAAGCGGAAUAUGUCAUGUAGCGGUGAAAUGCUUAGAUAUGACAUAGAACACCAAUUGCGAAGGCAGCUUACUACGGAUCGAUUGACACUGAGGCACGAAAGCGUGGGGAUCAAACAGG
rnacentral:rRNA from 1 species